rnacentral:rRNA from 1 species
AUCGAACGCUGGCGGCAGGCCUAACACAUGCAAGUCGAACGAGUGGCGGACGGGUGAGUAAUGUCUGGGAAACUGCCUGAUGGAGGGGGAUAACUACUGGAAACGGUAGCUAAUACCGCAUACCAACGGAUGUGCUCCGCGGGGAUUAGCUAGUAGGUGGGGUAAAGGCUCGCCUAGCCGACGAUCCCUAGCUGGUCUGCGAGGAUGACCAGCGACACUGGAACUGAGACACGGUCCAGACUCCUACGGGAGGCAGCGGUGGGGAAGAGUGCACAAUGGGCGCAAGCCUGAUGCAGCCAUGCCGCGUGUAUGAAGAAGGCCUUCGGGUUGUAAAGUACUUUCAGCGGUGAGGCGUUACCCGCAGAAGAAGCACCGGCUAACUCCGUGCCAGCCGCCGCGGUAAUAC